rnacentral:lncRNA from 1 species
AAGAAGGAGGCACCCAAAGGAGGUUUGCUAGGGGUGCUCCUGGGCGAGGUGCGCCAUCUGCAAGGGGGUGGGGGCGGAGAAGACGGGGUGGGAAAGGCAGGAAUAGUGCUAAUAAGGGAAACCAGGGGUGGGGGUCUGGGACAGCAGGUUGGCCCAGCCGGGUUUAGGGACAUUGUCUGUCGCGGUUGGGUCAGGCCUGAUGUAAGGUGACAGGGCGAUUGCUUCAGCUGGCGGGAACCCUGAUGAUUGGGGUCGGUUGUCAGGUCAGCUUCUGAUUGGCCAAUGUGGGUCUUAGCCAGGUGGAAAGUCCCGCCCACAGCUGCCAUGGAAGGAAAGAGGGAAGGGACGGCUUUGAGCCAACACCACUGGGUCUCAGCUCAGAGAAGGCUCUAGGCCCUGCUGUGCAGCCCCACAGGGUGCAGAGGAGCUAAGAGGCCCCGUGGCCCUCGGUGGGUGGACGUGGUGAGCCCCUGCCCUGCCCUGCUGGGCUUCCCUGGGGCUGCUCUGGCUCCAGCUUAGGGCAUUGUGGCCAGUGGGCCCUGCACCUGUCCUGCCUGGUGACAGGGGCACCUUGAAAGAACAGGGCUCCUCAGGACCCUCUCGCAGCUGCCCACUUCACACCUGG